UGGAGGGACGGCGUGGCGGGCGGGUGGGAGGCUGGUCGCCUGGGCCCACGGCUUCCGGCGGCCAGACCCACGUUCUGCUGGUCGCUCUGAGGAGUGACACGGAGGGGUCUCCGAGCGGCUCCUCCGGGCUGCACGGCGGCCUCAGGUCCUGAGUGUCUAUAGAAGCUGAGGUCCAUCAAUCUCCAUUCUUCAAAAUGCAAUGGAAUGUACCAAAGACUGUAUUCCGACUGGCACAUAGGACGUGCAUGGAACCACAUAAAGCCGGUCUUUUGGGACACUGUCAAAACAUAAAGGGACCAUUACUUUUGUAUACCCCGGAAUCCAGAGUGGUUGUGGUACAGGGCCCUCAGAAACGGUGGCUGCACUUACCCACUGCCCAGUGUGUUGCAAAGGAAAGGAAGCCAUUCAUUACUGUUCCAUCCCAACCAGGGGUCUUUCACCAUAAACAGUGGGAGCAGGAUAUCUUAUCCAAGAGAGUUCUGUCAUCCAGUGCCACAUCCUCAGGACAUCCCUCUGAAAAAAAGGAAGAACCUGAUCCGUUACAAGACAGAUCUAUUAGUCUUUAUCAACGAUUUAAGAAAACAUUUAGACAAUAUGGAAAAGUUUUGAUUCCAGUGCAUCUAGUAACUUCUGCUGUUUGGUUUGGAACAUUUUACUAUGCAGCCAUAAAAGGAGUGAAUGUCGUUCCUUUUCUAGAACUUAUUGGGUUACCUGACAGUAUAGUGAACAUUCUGAAAAAUUCCCAGAGUGGAAAUGCACUAACAGCAUAUGCCCUGUUUAAGAUUGCAACGCCUGCGCGGUACACUGUAACCCUGGGGGGGACCUCCUUCACUGUGAAGUAUCUGCGUAGCCGGGGCUACAUGUCGACGCCACCCCCCGUGAAGGAGUACCUGCAAGACAAGAUGGAGGAAACAAAGGAGCUCCUCACAGAGAAGAUGGAGGAGACAAAGGACAGACUCACGGAAAAACUGCAAGAAACCAAAGGAAAGGUUUCUCUUAAGAAAAAAGUGGAAUAGGGUGCCUUAUAUACCAGGUUUUAGACAGCUCUUGCACUUGAACCUUUGGAGACUAUGGACAAAGGGCAUGUUUUCCAAUGAGGAUAAAUCGUGGGUCUAAGAAGCUGCGUUUCCACCUUUGGUUCAGUCCAUUGGAGAUCUGCUGCCAUCCAGUUUCAUAACUCUGUUGUGUUUGUUCAAUUACAGAAAGUGAGAUGCUGAGGAGUGCUUUGAAAUUCUCUAGUAAAAUGUUCUCUGAAGGUAUAAGAAGUUCUUUUAUCAUAUUUGGUAUCAGGAUUACUUGAUCUUGUCAAACACUUCUGCUCCUAUCUUGCCAACCUAGUCCUUAAGGGAAGCUACAGAGAGCCGAAAGGGGGACCCCUGGAGUGUCUAUAUGGAGUGUUUGUAGCAGGCCAGUAGCACAUAGUGGGCACUGAGUUAAAUUAUCCAGAAUGUGUAUGUGGGGUAAGUAUCACGACCCAUUUCAUUUACAGUAAGCCUUAAACUUGCUGUGUCUGGUGUGUGCAUCUGUUUUUAAGUAGGACUGCUGACAAGGUAAAGAAGGAGUCAUGGCUGAGACUUAACAUCUACAAAAUGGAAAAAAGUGCUCAACAAAUUAACAAUUGAAACAAAAAACAGAUUAGGUUAAAAAAAAGAGACCAUUCAAGAAAAAUAGUGAAACCAACCUUUUAAAGUAUCAAAACAAUUUUAUUUUUUUUAACUGAAUCAACAUUUUGCAUAUAGUGGGGUGCUGUUUGCAGCUUCCAACAAAGGGAAGAGUACAUGUAUUAAGGUCACCUUCCUGCCAGUAGUGAAAAUAAUAAGACUAUGCCUUCAAAUAUAGUCUUUAGUUUGUUUUAGAAUCUACCUUCUGUUUAUUUACGGACGGAAGAUGUUACUGUAGUCCUUUAUGCUCCAGUAAGAUAUGAAGCUAUUAGCUGUCUUAUUUCAGUAAUAUUAGGAGGUAAUUCCAGGAAUUUUACAAAGAUCUUAACAGUUUGGGUAGAAGAGGUAUAUAAAGAAAAGAGACAAGUUGUAUAUUAGAUACAUCUAGCUCCUUCAAAGCAAAAUGUCAAAACACUAUAAUGAAAGAUCUUUAACGAUGAUGUUUUAAGUAACAGGUUUGUUAUAAACUGUUAUGUGCAAGUGUCAUCAUGGAGAGUCAGAGAAUGCCUGUUCCAAGGCCACCGUGAGUGGAUCGCUGAAGGUUCUGGAGGUUUCUCAAGCACACCUUUUUUUUUUUUUUUAAAGAUGUCUCCCGAAGGUGCAGUGAGAGGGCUGCCUGAGUUGCUAGUCCAUUGCUUAGCAGUUGGCAGCUCUGCUGUUUCACAAACAAUCCAAUGAACAAGUCGUUCCAAGAAA